GCCGGGCGUGGUGGUGCACACCUGUGGUCCCAGCUACUCAGGAGGCUGAGGCAGGAGAAUCGCUUGAACCCAGGAGGCGGAGGUUGCAGUGAGCCGAGAUCACCACUGCACUCCAGCCUGGGUGACAGAGCGAGACUCUGUCUCCA
ensembl:misc_RNA Metazoa_SRP Metazoan signal recognition particle RNA